ACCUGCAUAGAUCAAUGUUAGAUCACCUCUGAACUUUACGUCUGUCCAUGUUGACAAUGAGGAAAUGGAGGUUCGAAUCCUCCUGCGGGCA